rnacentral:tRNA from 1 species
UCUAUUAUGGCAGAAUAGUGCAAUGGACUUAAGAUCCAUAUAUAAGGAACAAUACUCCUUUUCUAGAA